rnacentral:miRNA from 1 species
GGGUGCCACGCUGUGCUCUCU